rnacentral:tRNA from 1 species
GCAGUUAUAAGUUAAGUUAAACUAUCAGUUUUCAAAACUGAAAAUUAGAAAUUGUG